rnacentral:misc_RNA from 1 species
GGUUCAAUUCCAGCUCAAAACCAAAUAAUGGUCACCCCAGCUUAGCAUCUUAAUGACAUGCAAUUAUACUGCAACUUCAUCAUCUUCCAACUGCAGCUUCACCUUGAUGGUAAUAAAUGGCAAUAUACCUUCUGAUCUUUCAAAGGAAACAUAAUAAGAAUUGUCACCUACCACGUUUGGCACUUAACUAGAAGGAUUAUAUUUAAAACGGUACAGCCAUUCCAAUGUAAUGAAGCAACUUUAAUAAGCAAAAAUUUUUCUAUUAAAGACGAGAAAACCAGCAAUAAAUUUGCAGAAUACAUUUGGGUAGUAGACUACAAGAUAACCAUAAAAAUAACUAGAUUUCCAACAAGGAUUCAAUAGUUCUAAAUCCAUGAUUCUCGGGUAAAGGUCCAUUUCCUGGCCGUAGUGAGAGUAUGACUUCCAAACCUGAAACCAUGUUUCAACAGAAUCAACACUCUUACUAUGUGAUGGAUGAAUUUGGAAAUUCGUUUAUUUGUUUAGACAUGAUGCCAUAAAAUUGCAGGCGGAACGCCUGCCCUCAUAUCGACUUCUAAAAACUCCAUGCUUGUGCUAGGUUUGGUAGGUCCAAGCCACUCCAGAUAAAACCAAAACUACGAAGUUCAUAACAACUCAGUUUCCCCCAUUUUAGUAGUUAUACAUGAAAACAAGUUAAUUUCAUCACACAGAAAUUAACCAAACAGUGAAACAAGUUACAGUAGAAGAUCAGGCACACUUUAGACUUAAUCCAAUGCAAGUGGAUUUCUAGCAGCUAUUGAUCAGAAUUUAGCAUCAAAGAAAUUAUUGCAAUAAAAAAAUGAAACAUUUUCUCAUUUUUUUGCAACAAAUUGAAGUUCAAUCGCCAUCCAAAAUUAACUGCUAGUGCUAAGUAAAGAUGGGUGAAAGUAAGCCUAAAAAUGGGCAUUUUGAACACAAACCUGCAGCCCUAGCUGCCAAAGCUUCUUGAAAGACGUCUGUCACAAAUAAAAUGUUUGAUGGCUUAUCAACUCCCACUGUUUUAAAAAUUUCAGAAUAACUUCGUGUUUCCUUCUUAUCCCCCACUGUAGUAUCAAAAAAUCCACAGAAGUAUUUUCUCAAGUCACCGUAGUUAGAUUUGGCAAAAAGGAGUUGUUGUGAUUCCCUGCUACCACUAGAAUAUACAUACACCUUAAAUCAGACAAGAAGCAAUGACAGUUAGCCAUGCAAAUCGAUUUUUUUUUUUUUUCACUCUAUAAGAGAUAAGAUGCACUUCAAAAUAUUCAAUAAUAACUUCUGGCUCUUGAGAUAAUUCAUUAUUUCUUUUUCCUCAACUACUUCAUGAGAGUUGCUCAAAGGCUCUUAAAGGAACCAACCACUCCACAAUCAGCCAAUUGUAGCACAUCCCAUCAGCACCUGAAUCUAGCACUUCAAAUAUAAAAGCAAAUAGGUCACUGGUGCUCAAGCAAUAACCAAGCGCUACAUUGAGGCAUACAAGAUAAACCAUCUUAGAAAUAGAAAUUAAAAAUGUAAAGAAUCUACAAUAUUUAACAGAGAGGAAGAAAACGAAUAGAACCCAGCAUCCAUGCAUACAAUUAAAGGGAAGACAAGGCCUUGAGCUCGUGCAAGGAAUGCUCCGAUAAAUAAAUGUAUUAUUUGGCUCCAUCCAGAAAGCAGCUAUAAUGACGUAAUCCUAUACCUACCAAGAGUACAAGUCUAGAAUACAACAAAAUGAAAGAACACUAUUAUUUUGUUCCUUGCUUAAAGACCAAAGCAAGCAUAUAUUAUAGCUUUCCAAACUUACAUUGCAGUUCCUAUCAAAAACUACAACUUGAAGCAACUGGACCAUAUGCACAUAAAAGCAGUCAAUAUUUUGUGACAAUAAAGAUGAAAAUGAAUAAGGAAAGGAAGAGAGGAAGAAAAAUGAAAGAGAUUUCAAGGAUCAUUUUCUUAUGCUCCAAAUGGCCAAUGACCAGAAAUCAAACAUAGCAUGAGACUGAGAGAGAAGGUACCUUGAUGCCUGAAGCAUGCCACUUUUGAAGAGCUUCUUGCACAUCAUCAAAUACAACACCAACCAACUCAUUGCUUUGAAAUCCAGUUCUCCAUAUAUGACCUUGUAAUUGUUUUAAGGCAGUGAUCUUCCGAUCUGCUUUUAUCAUUGCUUCAACAUUAGCAACCAAAGCUGCAAUUACCUCCUCUUUACCUUCAUCAUCUGGUGGAAUGGACACAGCCCCAUUAACACCUUGGGCCAGAUCAUCUUCAACUUGAAAGCGCAACAAUUUUAUAUCAUCUCGAGUUUCUGCAGUCUCAUAUGUUGCAGACAAAUGCCUCCCAACAUUAUCACGGGCAUAUGGAAAGAGAACGUCAGCGACAAAUGAUAUGGGAGUAGUAGUCCCUUCAAUGUCGAGCACAAUGCAGCGCUGCAACCAAAUAGUUUGAAAAUUGAAAAUGCAAAUUUGAUUAUGUAAAAUAUUUUAAUAUGAAAACCAAAGCCAAAGUGCAUUGGUGCUAAAGAAAACUAUAAAUACUACCGGCAAUGGCUCAAUUUCAUUAUUUGAAUCCUUCAUUCCUGCCUUGACAUAUGUGUUUAUUCCAUCACUACCUAGAAUUCCUUUGACAUUUUGAAUUGGACCAUGGUUCGGAGUAGACCAGUCCAAUCCAAGUUGAUGAAGUUUGAUCGCAGCAUCAAAUAGAUAGUGGUAACAUUCAGCCUGAAAAGUUGGUCAUCAAUUCAAGGGAAGCAUAAUAAGCUCUGUAAGGCAGAAAGAUGCUAAAAGAAGAGUCAACAACCGGAUAAAAAAAUGAUCUGAACCAAAACAUAUGUUUGCACCAAAAAAAAAGUCUAGUUUAAUGUCAUUUAAAAGCAUUGAAAUGUAACUUUUGAUAUCUGCAAUAUCUCCCAAACAAGUGAUCUUGCAAUGCUAGUCAGUCUUGACAAAAAAGGUCCAGAAGUAAAACGCAAAGUAUGAUAUUGUAUUUAGGGGGGAAAGGAUCAUCAUAUAUAUAGGUGCCUCUUUUUUAAAUGUUUCACAAAAAAAGAAAGAGGAGUUGAUUUAAUUUUUUUUUUUAACUGUUGUAGAUGUCAAGGUCUCUUAGGCUUAGUGUAAUAGCACCAUUGAGUGCAUUUACAAAAAGGUGAAGGUAAAACCCACUAAAAACAAAAUGAGAAACUGUUGGUUGGGAUGAUAUGGGCAUGUCUAGUGACUCUAGUCUCAAUCAGCAAAAGCACCUACACGGAAGGAUAAGCAUAUCCAAGUUAGAAGAAUAACAAUGAUGAGAUGUAGACAUAAGAAUGACUUGGAAGAAAUAGAGAAUAAGGAUUUAGCAACAUUGACCUUUCUAUAGAUGUAGCCUUAAACCAAGCAUAGCAGAAUAAAGGGAAAACAUCCAUAUAGUAACCCCAACUAUAUUGGAAUUAAGGAUUAGUUGAGUUCAACUGAGCAAAAUAAGGUUUCCACAAACAAAUUCCUUGAGGUUUUUGCUACAAGUACCUUACAUAACAGGAUGUACAAGAAGAAUUUGUGAGUGCCCAAAGGAAACUUGUAAAGGAUAAUUGCCCAAUUCAAUAUCCCAUGACAGAUUUGUCAAAAAGUACAAUAACAACCAACAUGAAAACAUUUAACAAAAAUGAAAUCUGCAAAGCAGCCUAUAUAUAGGAUGAUUUGUACCCUUUAGUUUACUAAAAUUAUCUUCCGCAGUUUUCACCUCUAGUUUGCAUGGCAUCCCCCCUUCAAAAUAUUUGGAAAUGGAAUACUUCCAAUACAAAUGCUAAGCUAUGUGGCUAUGCCCAUUUAACCAUGCUCUUCACCUUUGAAACUGAUCGAAAUAGUUAUUCAACAGAUUGUCAUGACUUCGGAAUAGUCUUGAACUUUGCAACUUCUCAUAUGUAAUACAGGUAAGAAAAUCCAAUAACUGGAUUAAUCAGGCCAUCUUCACUAUAGAUUAUAUUCCUGGUGUUACUUUUCUCAUAUACUAGUGAUAAUAGAAAUUGAAUAACCAAAAAAGAGAAGAAAAAUUCCAGAUCAACAUUUUGCAUGAGUUACAGGUAAAACCUUUGUCCAUAUCAUUCAAUAGGUGGGCAAAAACCUGAGUUUUGGCAUUGAUCCAUGAGUCUCCCCAUACAUAGAUG